AACGAACGCUGGCGGCGUGCCUAACACAUGCAAGUCGAACGAGAAAGGGGCUUCGGCCCUGAGUAAAGUGGCGCACGGGUGAGUAACACGUAGGUAACCUGCCUCUAAGAUUGGGAUAACCUGUCGAAAGACGGGCUAAUACCGAAUAAGACCACAGCUUCUUCGGGAGCGGGGGUCAAAGGUGGCCUCUACUUGUAAGCUAUCACUUAGAGAUGGGCCUGCGUACCAUUAGCUAGUUGGUGGGGUAAUGGCCUACCAAGGCAAAGAUGGUUGGCUGGUCUGAGAGGAUGAUCAGCCACGCUGGAACUGAGACACGGUCCAGACUCCUACGGGAGGCAGCAGUGGGGAAUAUUGCGCAAUGGGCGAAAGCCUGACGCAGCAACGCCGCGUGAGUGAUGAAGGCCUUCGGGUCGUAAAGCUCUGUCGGAGGGAACGAAUGCUCCUUGGGUUAACAUCCCCGGGAAGUGACGGUACCCUCAAAGGAAGCACCGGCUAACUCUGUGCCAGCCGCCGCAGUAA
rnacentral:rRNA from 1 species